GACGAACGCUGGCGGCGUGCCUAAUACAUGCAAGUCGAACGAACUCUGGUAUUGAUUGGUGCUUGCAUCAUGAUUUACAUUUGAGUGAGUGGCGAUCUGGUGAGUAACACGUGGGAAACCUGCCCAGAAGCGGGGGAUAACACCUGGAAACAGAUGCUAAUACCGCAUAACAACUUGGACCGCAUGGUCCGAGCUUGAAAGAUGGCUUCGGCUAUCACUUUUGGAUGGUCCCGCGGCGUAUUAGCUAGAUGGUGGGGUAACGGCUCACCAUGGCAAUGAACCGUAGCCGACCUGAGAGGGUAAUCGGCCACAUUGGGACUGAGACACGGCCCAAACUCCUACGGGAGGCAGCAGUAGGGAAUCUUCCACAAUGGACGAAAGUCUGAUGGAGCAACGCCGCGUGAGUGAAGAAGGGUUUCGGCUCGUAAAACUCUGUUGUUAAAGAAGAACAUAUCUGAGAGUAACUGUUCAGGUAUUGACGGUAUUUAACCAGAAAGCCACGGCUAACUACGUGCCAGCCGCCGCAGUAA
rnacentral:rRNA from 1 species